rnacentral:rRNA from 1 species
UACGGGGGGGGCAAGCGUUGUUCGGAAUUACUGGGCGUAAAGGGCUCGUAGGCGGCCAACUAAGUCCGACGUGAAAUCCCAAGGCUUAACCUUGGAACUGCGUCGGAUACUGGAUGGCUUGAAUUCGGGAGAGGGAUGCAGAAUUCCAGGUGUAGCGGUGAAAUGCGUAGAUAUCGGGAGGAACACCGGCGGCGAAGGCGGCGACCUGGGUCGAUACUGACGCUGAGGCGCGAAAGCGUGGGGAGCAAACAGG